GAGAGGAGAGGACAAGGAGGGCAGAUGGAACAUCAGUACCUGCCCACAGCCUUGGCCCCUGGGGGCUAGACUGCUCAACUGUAGAGCAAUUCAUUAUACUGAAAAUGUGCUUGUUGUUGAAAAUUUGUCUGCAUGUUAAUGCCUCACCCCCAAACCCUUUUCUUUCUCACUCUCUGCCUCCAACCUCAAAUUGACUUUCAAUAGUUUUUCUAAGACCUUUGAACUGAAUGUUCUCUUUAGCCAAAACUUGGUGACUUCCACAGAAAAGUCAGACCACUGAGAAGAAGGGGAGCAGAGAUUUAACCCUUUGUAAGGCCCCGUUUGGAUCCAGGUCUGCUUUCUCAUGUGUGAGUCAGAGAGGAGCUGGAGCCAGAGGAGAAGAAAGUGAUAGCUUGACUGUUCUCCUGCUUAGGACACUGACUGAAUAGUUAAACUUUCACUGCCACUACAUUUUCCCCACCUUUAAAAGACCUGAAUGAAGUUUUCUGCCAAACUCCGUGAAGCCACAAGCACCUUAUGUCCUCCAUUCAGUGUUUUGUAGGCCCGAACUUCAUCACACUGCAUUUCAGCCAUGGUGGUCAAGCCUGUUUGCUUCUUUUGGGCAUGUUCACAGAUUCUCUGCUAAGAGCUCCCCCCAUCAAGAAGGUUAGCAGGCCAACAGCUCUGACAUCUAUCUGUAGAUGCCAGUAGUCACAAAGAUUUCUUACCAACUGUCAGAUCGCUGGAACCCUUAGACAAACUGUAAAGAAGGCAUCAAAGGGAUCAGACAAACUGGGUGUCUUGUCCUUGUCCCCCAGAGAUGACACCCUUCCAGCAAGUGGAGAAGUUCUCACUUCCUUCUUUGGAGCAGCUAAAGGGGCUGCCCAGAUCAGGGUUGAAGAGAAAACUCAAUUACCAGGGUGGGAAGAAUGAAGGCACUAGAACCAGAAACCCUGCAAAUGCUCUUCUUGCCACCCAGCAUAUCCACCUGCAGAAGUCAUGAGAAGAGAGAAGGAACAAAGAGGAGACUUUGACUACUGAAUUAAAAUCUUCAGCGGCAAAGCCUAAAGUCAGAUGAACACCAUCUGGUGAGUUCACUCAUCAUCCUCCUCUGCUGCUGAUUCUGGGCUCUGACAUUGCCCAUACUCACUCAGAUUCCCCACCUUUGUUGCUGCCUCUUAGUCAGAGGGAGGCCAAACCAUUGAGACUUUCUAUAGAACCAUGGUUUCUUCCGGAAAGGUCUGGUUGGUGUGGCUCCAAUACAUUGCCACCCAUGAACUCAAGGUGUGCCCUGGGACACUGGUUUCAUCUAGUCUUUUUGCACGCCUGUGUUCUGUUGACUUCAUUCUCCAACCCCAAGUGCAAGGCAAAAUGUCCACCUACUUUCUCAUCUUGGCCACUGCCUCCUUACUUAGCUCUUAAUCUCAUCUGUUGAACUCAAGAAAUCAAGGGCCAGUCAUCAAGCUGCCCAUUUUAAUUGGUUCACUCUGUUUGUUGAGAGGAUAGUUUCUGAGUGACAUGAUAUGAUCCACAAGGGUUUCCUUCCCUGAUUUCUGCAUUGAUAUUAAUAGCCAAACGAACUUGCAAAACAGCUUCUUUAAAUAACAAGGGAGAGGGGAACCUAAGAUGAGUAAUAUGCCAAUCCAAGACUGCUGGACAAAACUAAAGCUAACAGGUUCCCUUUCUGGGAUGGGAUAGACACAUCCUGGUUUUCUUUAUUACUACACCAUCUGGCUCAUGUACAGGAUCACUUUUAGCUGUUUUAAACAGAAAAAAAUUCCACCACUCUUUUCAGUUACACUAGGUUACAUUUUAAUAGGUCCUUUACAUCUGUUUUGGAAUGAUUUUCAUCUUUUGUGAUACAUGGAUUGAAUUAUAUCAUUCUCAUAUCUCUCCUUGUAAAUACUAGAAGCUCUCCUUUACAUUUCUCUAUCAAAUGUUUCAUCUUUAUGGGUUUCCCAGUUGUGACUCUUGUCUCUAUGAAUAUAUGUUUUUCAUUUGCAAAAGCCAAAAAUCAGUGAAACAGCAGUGUAAUUAAAAGCAACAACUGGAUUACUCCAAAUUUCCAAAUGACAAGACUAGGGAAAAAUAGCCUACACAAGGCUUUAGGCCUUCUCUUUCUGUGCUUGGAUUUGAGUGAACAAAGGAGGUUUUAGCUUGGCUCUGUUCUCCCAUGGAUGAAAGGAGGAGGAUUAUUUUUUUUUUCUUUUGGCCAUUGAUGUUCUAGCCAAUGUAAUUGACAGAAGUCUCAUUUUGCAUGCACUCUGCUCUACAAACAGAGUUGGUAUGGUUGGUAUACUGUACUCACCUGUGAAGGACUGGCCACUCAGACCCACUUAACUGGCGAGCUAGAAGAUGAGGAUCACUCACCGGAAAAGUCACGAGGACCAUCUCCAAACAAGUUGGCAGUGCUUGAUGUGGAUGAAGAGUGAGGAAGAGAAAAAGAAGGAGCACCAGGGAAAAGACCUCGUCUGUGCCAGGCAGCAGACUGCUGCCAGGAUCACGAACUCUGUAGUCAAAGAAAAGAGUCGUGUGGCGGUUUCAGCUCUCGUUCAUUGGGCAGCUCGCCUGGGCCCAGCCUCUGUGUUGACAUGGGAGUUGUUGGAUUCUUUGUUUCAUAGCUUUUUCUAUGCCACAGGCAAUGUUGUUGUUCUUGGAAAGUUUAUUAUUUUUUUUAAUUCCCUUACUCUGAGAAAGGGAUAUUUUGAAGGACUGUCAUAUAUCUUUGAAAAAAGAAAAUCUGUAAUACAUAUAUUUUUAUGUAUGUUCACUGGCACUAAAAAAAUAUAGAGAGCUUCAUUCUG
rnacentral:lncRNA from 1 species